CUGCGUGCGGCUGAUGAGUGUUCCUGCUGAGGCUCUGUGAUUGCUCAGCUUCAAAGUAAAUGCCCUGACGCCCUGCGG
ensembl:snoRNA small nucleolar RNA, C/D box 105B